ACACGACAGUUUCCGUACGAUCAUCGAAGUUAAGCAACAUCGAGUCUGGUCAGUACCUAGGUGGGUGACCACUUGGGAAGACCAGCCGU